UUUUUUUUAAACGUGGCCUGUUUUUAUUAAAAGAAUAAUUAGUGAUGUGGCAUCAGAAUUUGGAUUUAUCCUUAGGGUUCUUGAAACUCUUUCUCCUCUCGAAUCACUCUGCAAUUCCAUUCCUCCAUCCCACUCUAUUUCAUAAGCAUCGUGCUCUUCCACCAUGAAUGACCCUUCCUUUUCAAUCACCUUUUUCACU
rnacentral:lncRNA from 1 species